AUACAGAGGGUGCGAGCGUUAAUCGGAAUUACUGGGCGUAAAGCGCGCGUAGGCGGCUUGAUAAGUCGGAUGUGAAAGCCCCGGGCUUAACCUGGGAAUUGCAUUCGAUACUGUCAGGCUAGAGUAUGGUAGAGGGUAGUGGAAUUCCGGGUGUAGCGGUGAAAUGCGUAGAUAUCCGGAGGAACACCAGUGGCGAAGGCGGCUACCUGGACCAAUACUGACGCUCAGGUGCGAAAGCGUGGGGAGCAAACAGGAUUAGAAACCCCAGUAGUCC
rnacentral:rRNA from 1 species